AAGUAAUUUCGAUUUCUAUCGAACGGUUAUUACCAGGACUUUCCCGCGUAAAUUACGCGACGAAAGUUAACUAGUCGAGCCCCCUGUGAACGGCGCCUUCUGAUUGGUUAUAGCGUACAGUUAAAACGUAAUCUAAGAACCAGUUCUCGUUGCGUCAGUCGGUAUUAUAACGAAUUUUUACAUGCACACAUAUCUAACAAGAAGCACGUGAGAUGACUAAUUUGAUACUACUCAAUCCCAUUAUAUGAUCGUUAGAUAGCAAUUUGAUACUAAAAUAUUUAUUAUAUUUAAUCUCGAAUCGAAGUUAUGUUUUUUUUUUUUUUCUUUCUUUUUUCUUUGCAUACAUUUUAUCUCAUAACUUUCGCUUCUUUAAGAAUGUAUGUCUUUCAUUUAAAGAAUUUAUUCCCAAGUAUAUAUUUCUUCUCAACAAUAAAUUUAUUAUCAACUUAUCGGAUGCACGUGUUGUUCCUCGUGCCAUUCAUUCCAGCAACGAUUUGCGAUUUACGUCAUUUCGUCAUACGAACGUCAAGAAAUGAUAAUAACAAAUGAUGAAGAAUCAAUAAAUAGAGUAAAGCGAGAGCACAUUCAAUCCUCUACUAAAGAUAGAGCAGAGGGCAGAAAGACAUUCUUUAAACGAAAGGAUGAAAGGAUGACCGAACAUGCUAUAUAAAAGCAAUACCUACUGCUUUCGUCUCGGAAUGCGUUUAUAUUUAGUGAGUCAACGUGCUGGAAAGCGAGGAACGAAAGAGCAUUGUCGGAUUCAACCGAUGUAUUUUCAGCUGGCUAUAUUGUUCCAACAGGAUGCUUAAUACAAUAUGUCUGGUUUGAUAUCUUUUUGUUAAACGAAAGGAAAAUAAAAUCGCGGUGAAUAUUCGAA